ACAAUAUUUACAAUAAUUUUUAUCUAUAACAUAUCAAAAUAAGUUGAUUAAAUUUUCAGGUUUAAUAAAGAAUGGUAGCUACAAUGGUGACCAAUGAAAAAUUGUUGGUAAUUAUUUCUCCGAAUAACGAAAAACAUCAACGACCCUAUGCUGUCAGAACUCAGAACACCAUACAUACAAUAGAUGCAGUACUUAAUUGAAAUGACAAGGUAGUGAUAUGGAUGUUGAAUCUUUGCAUGAACAUUUGUUAUCUUUAAAAAAAGCAAGUAAUCCUAAAGUUGCUCCAAUAAGACUUAUUAACAUCAUCAAACUGAGUAUCAGGAAA